UUUCUCUCUGCUAAUCCAUUUUGUUGUGGAGUAUGUGGGCAAGAAAUCAGUUGUUGAAUGCCAUGUUGUUGUAGGUGACUUGUAAACUUGGUACUUGUAAACUCACCACCACCAUCACACUGAAAACUUGCAAUUUUAUUCUGAAACUGAUUUUCCACUAUAGCUUGAAAGACAAUGAAGGUCCCCAUAGGUCACAAUGUAUCUUCUGGAGAGGCCUGGAGGUUGUCGUGCUUGAGAGGGUGAAAGUUGCUGAAGGACUUGGGAGUUUGGAUGCCCUAACCUCAUGUGCCAAACAUCCUCAGAAGCUGAUAGUUGACGUGUAGAGUAGUAGGCAUGAACAGGGGUGUCCUUCAGAACAUAAAGACCCUUAAUGUUGUUUCCCAGAACCAGCACUCUCUUUGUUGCCUUAUCAACCACACGCACAGUGUCACAGUCAAAAUUCACAGAGCAUGGAUAGUCAUUGGUUGUGAGGAGAAUUUGUGAUGUGUGCUGUUGCACCACUGUCUCCAACCCACUCAUGACCAUUGUGAUCUGUAACAUCAGUGAUUCUCAUAGCAGCUAAGGCAGCAGGAACCAGUGGAGGAAGAACUCUGAGUUAUUUGCUGUGGGAAGCCUCUUCCUUUUGUAGUGUAGUAGCCUCCUCUUCCACGGGAACCACCAGAUUUACCAUAGGAGUUUCCUCUUCCUCUACCAUUGGAGUUACCAGAAUCAUUUGUGUAAAAGGCCAUAUGAGGUGAGAUCUCCACACCAACAUUGUAGCUCAGAAGUCUGUCAGCAUAACUUUUGAGACGAGAACUGAUAUCUUCAAAGAGACAGGACUGCCUAUGGAAGCUAGUUGCUCACAAACAUUCUUGAUAUCUCUUAGCAAGGAUGUCUUCAGAGAGAGAGCCAAGAAGCCAAGCUCUGACGAUUUGAUCUGCUCUAAACCAUUCACUGUAAUCUGGAUUUGGAACUGUCAGAGGCAUUCCACCAACUUGAGGAGCUUGAAGCAUUGCAGCAGGAGCAGGAGAUGACCCAUUCACAAAUCCAAUGGACCGUUGGAGAGUUGAAGACUGACUGGGCUUGGUUUGUUCUGUUGGAGACUUGGGCUUCCAGACUGAUGUUAUGUUGUUGGACUUGGGCCUGUUUUCUGAUAAGGGCAUCUUUGGCUCCUGUUUUGUCUUCUUGUUGUCUGAAACCGAGAAACCCUUUUUCUCUUUAGCUAGGUUAGAAUCUUCAGCUUCUUCUUUUGUUGAGAUUGGAUCUCUGUUCUUAAUACUACUAUUGUGCUCUCUUGUCACUGUACUAUAUUGAUUAUUAUUGAGCAACCCAAUAAUUCUUACAGCUUUCUCCAUUACGCGUGUCUACGGCCUCUACUACCACCUCUCUUUUCACCAUCUUGCUACAUCAAAACAAAUCCAUUAAUAAAUAAUGCUUUCUUUAUUUAAAUUUAUU